GACGGGUGAGUAACGCGUGGGCAACCUGCCCUAUGGAAUGGGAUAGCCUCGGGAAACUGGGAUUAAUACCAUAUAUAUUAACUUGACUAUUGUUAAGUUAAGGAAAGAACUUCGCCAUAGGAUGGGCCCGCGUCCCAUUAGCUAGUUGGUGAGAUAACAGCUCACCAAGGCGACGAUGGGUAGCCGACCUGAGAGGGUGACCGGCCACACUGGGACUGAGACACGGCCCAGACUCCUACGGGAGGCAGCAGUGGGGAAUAUUGCGCAAUGGGGGCAACCCUGACGCAGCAACGCCGCGUGAGCGAAGAAGGUUUUCGGAUCGUAAAGCUCUGUCUUUAGGGAAGAUAAUGACGGUACCUAAAGAGGAAGCCCCGGCUAACUACGUGCCAGCAGCCGCGGUAAUACGUAGGGGGCAAGCGUUGUCCGGAAUUAUUGGGCGUAAAGGGCGAGUAGGCGGUAGAGUAAGUCAGAUGUGAAAACUAUGGGCUUAACCCAUAGGUUGCAUAUGAAACUGCUUUACUUGAGUACUGGAGAGGUAAGUGGAAUUCCUAGUGUAGCGG
rnacentral:rRNA from 1 species